ensembl:misc_RNA 7SK 7SK RNA
GGAUGUGAGGGCAGCCAGGUCAUGACGUCUCAAAUACUGUUGCUCACCAGGGUUCAUUUGGCUCCUCUGGUUGGCUAAGCAGGUCCCCCACCCCCCUCACUUCUCCAUGUGCAUCUCUCUGAAGAUGCUUGUUUAGUCAAAGAGGACGACGUUUCCCAACUAGAAGCAAAUCUGACUUCCUUUGACCGUCUAUGAGUACCUGUGCUUGCCUGAUAGAUCCUCCAAGCAAGGUCUUCUGGACUACAAGAGACCUUCCAUCCUCUGCCCCCCCCCAAAAAAAAACCAAAACCUUGAAAUUGAAGUGCCAGUGCUUGCAGAAGAU